ensembl:snRNA U2 U2 spliceosomal RNA
ACAUCUUAAUAAAACUUUUUUAAAUCUGUUCUUAUCAGUUUUAUAUGCGAUAUGUCUUCCAUCUGAGGACCAUACAUAAAAUGGAUUUUUGGAACAGGGAGAUGGAAUAGGAUCUUGCUCCAUCCACUCCACGCAUCGACCUGGUAUUGCAGUACCUCCAGGAACGGUGCCCCUCCC